GUGCGUGGAAAUGGCUGGCUCAAGCAGCCGAGACAGAGCAGAGUGUGAGAGAGCUAAUGGAAGUAAGCUGCUGAAGAAACCGUAUUCACCUGCCUAUGGCCCGUGAGUGUUCUUGAAGCUAUCUGGCGUUCAUCCACCCACUCCCCUCGGACCUCAGCAUGGGCUGGAACCUCACCCUAGACCUAACAGAUGCUCUCAUGAGCACUCUUCAAACUCAGAAAUUUCCCUUACGUCAUCACGAGCCGAAGAUUUCUAAUUAAAUUCCUCCCGAGUUCAUUCUGCUUCCUGCCACACUGUGAAAAAGGUGCCUUUCUUCUGGUUUGCCUUCUACCAUGACUGCAAGUUUCCUGAGGCCUCCCCAGCCAUGCAGAACUAACAUUUGGAUACCACUUACCUCUGAGACAGUUCUUUUGGAAAUUAUAAAUAUAUUUCUUUCCGGGGAUCAAAAGAAUCCACAUCAACAUGAAAGAUGAAGUGUUGAAUCUGAAUUCACAGCUGCUUUAUGCAAUCUGGAAAAAGGUCAAGCUGGAGUGCAGUGGCCCAAUCCUGGCUCACUGCAACCUCUGCCUCCUGGGCUCAAGGCAUCCUUCCACCUCAGCCUCCCAAGUAGCUGGGACUACAGGAGAGAAGACAAUGAGGUCAGCUAGAAUGAUGGAUUGUCAUCACUGGGGCACGGGAAAGGGGUUGAGCAAGUCAAUGUAUGUUUUCCAGAGCCUACAGAAUGUGUCUGAUUCUCUGAAGUAUAUUUUUUCUAAAUGCCAGAUUCAAGCAUUAAGCACUGUGCAGUUUUGAGAGAAGAAGUUAUAAAGCAAAACUGACUUGAGUAACCACCAGCCCAACAUUCGGGACUUUGUGGGGAUUGCUAUGGCUCUGCCGGACUUACAAGCAAUAGUGAUGCAGAACCUGUCAUUAGCAUGUGUAAUGCUUGUCAAAAAAUAAUCUCCCAAGAAAUGUUUUAAUUUUCACUGGUCAGUGCACUACCAAUACUAGUUUUGGCAUGGCGGAUAAUAAAUAACAAACCUUUGUUUCGAAUAAAAAA
rnacentral:lncRNA from 1 species